rnacentral:misc_RNA from 1 species
GUGAAUCAUCGAAUUUUUGAACGCAAAUUGCACUCUCUUCGGAGAGUAUGCCUGUUUGAGGGUCAGCCUAUAAAAAAUCGACAUAGUUGCUGUUUCGCGGUGACGUUCGUCGGAAAUUGGGUCAUCUUAAACCUUUGGGUUUUAAGAGGGUUAAAAUUUUUUUUACUUUUUCACGAACGUUUCUAUGAUUUA